AAUUAGGUGUUGGAACGUCAACCUUCAAUGAGCAGAAAGUGGGUUUCCAAAGAUUUUCUGCCUCCAGAAGAACAGAAGCAGAGGCCGAGGGAGAAGCAGAGUCCCUGCAGAGCACGGAGCUCGAUGGGGGCUCGACCCCAGGGCCCCGGGAUCUGACCGAGCUGAAGGCAGCCGCUGAGCCGACUGAGCCACCUGGGCGACCGUUUGGUUAUUUCUUACCAACUCCUUGGCAAGUUGUCACAACCAGUUCUGGACUUGCAGGAAUAUAUUUGCAGGCUCCUGGCCCAGGGACUCAAACCAAAGACCCUCUCUGAUGGGAAACACGUCCCUGCCCUCUGAGCUGCGAUUCGGGACCCUUGUCUAUGGGAGCAUCGCAGCACGGUUUCCUAAGACGCUCAGGACACAACUUGGCUUCAGUGGUUUUAGCGCCCUGCUGUCUCCAGGGAGGAUGCAAACCGAGUCUUAGAGACCUAACUCGGCCCAAACUCUUCAAACACCGGCCCCGUGGAAGCUGGAGGGUGCCUUUAUGUUCAGAGAUAUCAAAGAAAUCCUCCCUGGCUUCCUUCCGAGCUCUCUCGGAUGUCUUGAACAUUCCAGCAAGCCCCAGCUCGGAGUCGGCGGGAAGCGGGAAGGCACACGCUCUUGAACUUUUGAACUCAGCCACAGCAUCUAUUUUCUCCAUUCUGUUUGUUGACUCCUCUUUGAUCUCAUCUUAUUAGAAGGAUAAUACCCUAACGUUUUUGGCAUAUUUAAAAUCAACUGCUCCUACGGUCCUCCGGGGGGCUCGGCUUAACUUUAGCCUUUCCCCAGUCCCUGAAGCUCUUCACGGCAGGCAGUGCGCACUUACCUUCGUGGAAAAUUGUUAAGUAAUUCCCCCUAACGGGGAAUUUACUUUUCUGAAUACACAGUAGGCAGGGUUAUUUGUAUUUCAUUUCAUCAUCUGAACGUGAACCUAUUUCUAAUUUUGUGAGUAUCUUUGAAAGCUUCCCCAUCCAAUAAAAGGCCCACAAGGUGGACAGAAGCCUUGUGUGUGGUGGUCGCGGUGGCGGCAGCAGUCGGUGGCGGUGGUGGCGGUAGGGCUGCCUUUUGCCGUUCGGCCACUCGGCCAGAGCCUUACUUUCAGAAAGGGCCUCACAUUUAUAGGUUUUGCUGUAACCUCAAGGUGGGGAAAUAAUAUGUAGUUACACACAUAACGCGAAGGAUUGAAGGAGGACCGUCCUUCACUUCGGACCCGGGUUCAUUGCUGAGCCGAA